UUCUUACUAGAAUCUACACCAAAACAGAACAGGAAAGAUGCAUCUACUGCAGAGUAUUUUACUGUCCAGCGUUCUAUAGGUUGUUGUCAGCAUUUGCAAAAAGCACAAGCAACUACAAAGAUCAAGAUUAGCAGAAAAUAAAAACAGGAGACUUUGUACAAAAGGAAAAUUCGGAGAUGAAUUCAGUGAUGAGUCUGCUAGAGAUUAGAAGGGAUAUGUUGUCAUACAAGCGUCUGUUUGUCCAAAAGAUCAUAGUCAAAAUGCUAUGAUCCUGUGCCAACUUCCCUUAGAACUCUGCUUCAAAAAGCAGGUAAAGAGAUGACACAUGGCUUAGAAUCAAAGUUUGAAGUCCAAGAUAAACACAGCUCAUAAUCAGACAGACUGUACAAAUUCUUACAUCUGCUUCAUGAGUACAAAUGUGUUCUACGUAGAUACUAUUUAUUCAUAACAAUGUUUAGCAGUCAUCCACAUUACUUGAUUGGAUUCUAUAUAAAGAGAAAGCUGAGUUUCUUAUUUCAUGACUUGGAGAGAAGCAGGAGGUAUAUAUGCCCAUUGAUUCUCGGUGGACAAUGAAACUGAAAUAGAAGUUUCCAGGAUUAAGCAUUUGGUAUUUAAUAUUUUCUUCUUGAUAUGGAAGUUAUUGCAUUUUGUGCAAGUGUGUGAAUAAUGCUUUGGUAAACUAAUCUGAAGGCAGUGAACUGAAGUUGUUCCACUUCCUAAGUUCUGAGUGGUAAAAAGAACAAAAGGUGAACAUAAAGACAUCCUACUGUAGUUGCUGCCUGAAUAUUCAUGAGGAGGACAAUCCCAUUCUGACUGUAGCCAGUGACUAAUUCCACAGCACAUCUCUAACUAUUUCUCAUUGGAGAGAAGGCCUGAUAGGAUAAGAAGUGGCAGGAAAGUAUUAUGACAAAGAAAUAAUAAGAACAGCACAUGCUUACAGUGCUUAUGGAGAAAUGAUUCAUUCUUACUGAGAUAUUUCACAGUCUGUUUCAGGAGAACUUUCUAACCAGAUAUACACCUUCUCUCUCAGUUUCUUUGCCUCCUUCCCUCUCUCUCCCUUCUUUGUGUGACAAUAAAAGAAACUCUUU
rnacentral:lncRNA from 7 species